rnacentral:rRNA from 1 species
UACGUAGGGUGCAAGCGUUAAUCGGAAUUACUGGGCGUAAAGCGUGCGCAGGCGGUUUUGUAAGCCAGAUGUGAAAUCCCCGAGCUUAACUUGGGAACUGCGUUUGGAACUACAAGACUAGAGUGUGUCAGAGGGGGGUAGAAUUCCACGUGUAGCAGUGAAAUGCGUAGAGAUGUGGAGGAAUACCGAUGGCGAAGGCAGCCCCCUGGGAUAACACUGACGCUCAUGCACGAAAGCGUGGGGAGCAAACAGGAUUAGAUACCCUGGUAGUCCACGCCCUAAACGAUGUCUACUAGUUGUCGGGAGAGGAAUCUCUUGGUAACGCAGCUAACGCGUGAAGUAGACCGCCUGGGGAGUACGGUCGCAAGAUUAAA